AAUGAACGCUGGCGGCAGGCCUAACACAUGCAAGUCGAACGGGUCCUUCGGGACUAGUGGCGGACGGGUGAGUAACGCGUGGGAACAUACCCUUUGGUACGGAAUAGCCUCGGGAAACUGAGAGUAAUACCGUAUGUGCCCUUCGGGGGAAAGAUUUAUCGCCAAAGGAUUGGCCCGCGUUGGAUUAGGUAGUUGGUGGGGUAAUGGCCUACCAAGCCGACGAUCCAUAGCUGGUUUGAGAGGAUGAUCAGCCACACUGGGACUGAGACACGGCCCAGACUCCUACGGGAGGCAGCAGUGGGGAAUCUUAGACAAUGGGGGAGACCCUGAUCUAGCCAUGCCGCGUGAUCGAUGAAGGCCUUAGGGUUGUAAAGAUCUUUCAGUUGGGAAGAUAAUGACGGUACCAACAGAAGAAGCCCCGGCUAACUCCGUGCCAGCCGCCGCUGUAAUAC
rnacentral:rRNA from 1 species